rnacentral:rRNA from 1 species
AUUGAACGCUGGCGGCAGGCCUAACACAUGCAAGUCGAACGAGUGGCGGACGGGUGAGUAAUGUCUGGGAAACUGCCUGAUGGAGGGGGAUAACUACUGGAAACGGUAGCUAAUACCGCAUACCAUCGGAUGUGCCCAGAUGGGAUUAGCUAGUAGGUGGGGUAACGGCUCACCUAGGCGACGAUCCCGAGCUGGUCUGCGAGGAGGACCAGCCACACUGGAACUGAGACAAGGUCCAGACUCCUACGGGAGGCAGCUGUGGGUAAGAUGGCACAAUGGGCGCAAGCCUGAUGCAGCCAUGCCGCGUGUAUGAAGAAGGCCUUCGGGGUGUAAAGUACUUUCAGCGGGGAGGCGUUACCCGCAGAAGAAGCACCGGCUAACUCCGUGCCAGCAGCCGCGGUAAUAC